rnacentral:rRNA from 1 species
UAAGGAAUAUUGGUCAAUGGACGCAAGUCUGAACCAGCCAUGCCGCGUGGAGGAUGAAGGUCCUCUGGAUUGUAAACUUCUUUUAUCUGGGACGAAAAAGGGACUUUCUAGUUCAACUGACGGUACCAGAUGAAUAAGCACCGGCUAACUCCGUGCCAGCAGCCGCGGUAAUACGGAGGGUGCAAGCGUUAUCCGGAUUCACUGGGUUUAAAGGGUGCGUAGGUGGGCAGGUAAGUCAGUGGUGAAAUCUCUGGGCUUAACCCGGAAACUGCCAUUGAUACUAUUUGUCUUGAAUACCGUGGAGGUCAGCGGAAUAUGUCAUGUAGCGGUGAAAUGCUUAGAUAUGACAUAGAACACCAAUUGCGAAGGCAGCUGGCUACACGAAUAUUGACACUGAUGC